CCCUUAGAUGUUCUGGGCCGCACGCGCGCUACAAUGAUGAAUUCAACGAGUUUAUAACCUUGGUUGAAAAGCCUGGGUAAUCUUUUGAACUUUCGUCGUGAUGGGGCUAGACCCUUGCAAUUAUUGGUCUCCAACGAGGAAUUCCUAGUAAACGCAAGUCAUCAGCUUGCAUUGAUUACGUCCCUGCCCUUUGUACACACCGCCCGUCGCACCUACCGAUUGAAUGGUCCGGUGAAAUCUUCGGAUUGAGACUUUGAUUUGUUUACUCAAAACGCUGUUACGGGAAGUUGAUUAAACCUUACCAUUUAGAGGAAGGUGAAGUCGUAACA
rnacentral:rRNA from 1 species